GUGCUCACUUUGGUAGCACAUAUACUAAAAUUGGAAUGAAGAGAAGAUUAGCACGGUUCCUGCACAAGGAUGACAUGCAAAUUCGUGAAGCUUUCCAUAUUUUU